CUCGGCGACCAGCAGGCCACCAACGACCACAGAAACGACGAGCCCCGCCCGUCCCCGUGGUAACCGGCUCGCCGCCGGGGACUAUGGGAGUUGUAGUUGCGCGGGGGCCGGGCGCGCGCCCGGAGGACGAGCGGCUGCCGUUAGCGUUCGCCACUGGCCAUUGCGCGCCGGCGGCCAGCCCUCGGACGGUGAGGCCCUUCUGGCCUCCUGCGCUGCCUCGGCCUGUAACCCGGAAUGGUUUCGAGGGAGGCCGGGUCAGGGGCGGAGGCCGCUGGGGAAGGGCAGGCGUCGGCGGCGCUCAGCCCCGGCCCUCCCAGGCUCCCCAGCUGAGAAGCCCCGAGUGGGGCUCCCCCGAGGCGGAAGUCUCUGGAAAACAAAGGAACUCAAGAGGAGCUUCUCUGAAACUUGACCCUGCCAUGGCACAACUCUCCAGUUUUCUUCAUUGUCUCCAGAACAGGAGUUUUUCUGGGACAGAUGGCACAAGAACACCAGAAUCCUCCGCCAGGGCAGACAUUGUUCGGAUGUGGAUCUUGGGAGCCACACCCCCUUGGAGCUCAUGGACUGAGAACAAGGAGUUCCCCUCCCAUCAGGGACUUUCUGAAAGAUGAUCCCCAUGAGGGACCUCACGCAGACCCUGUGGGCACUAGGAAAUGCCUCAGAAUGUUCCAGAACCUUCAGCUGGCAUUGGGGACUCUCCUAGAGGUGAAGCCAAGCAGUUCUCCUCCCCAAGACAAGAUCUUCCAGCAGAAGAGAGAAGGCAGGUGCUGUGACAGGGACAAGAGGUAGCCUGCAGCCAGACUUAAAACUCUUUGAAGAAGAGCCACAUUGUGUCCCUUGGAUCCUCCCCAGCACCUUCAAGCAUUGACACCUCAGAAUCGUGGUGGGGCUUGGAAGCUGCGUGGGGCUAUGGUGCUGCCCUCUGAGCAGAGGGUCCGGGAUGUGCCUUUGGCUGAAGGCGCGGCUUCCUUCUUGGGGAUGGCUGAAAUUCUCUUCUGGUCACACGGGGCAAAAGGUGACCUUGUAUUUACUGCCGUCCUUUCCAGCCCACCACAAGGCAGGCUAGCCAAGGUAGCCCCAGAGACCAUCAGGUGGCUGGCCAUCUGUCCCCAUUGCCUCAGCUGUGCCGGAGAGAUGUAACUGUUUGCCAUAUGUUGUGCUGGGCCUGGGAGGGACCUGGGAAAGGACAGGCAGGGAACAGCCAGAAUUCAUUCGGUGGGAAAGCCGCCCAUCCCAGCACCCUGGUUAAGUAUGACUGGCUCAGGACCUUCCUCCACGUGAACUUGGAGCUCCUUUCGGGUAGAGCUGUGUCUUGGGCCUGUCCCUGCUUCACGGUGCCUGGUUCAGCAAAUAGGUAGCUGUUUGCAGAGUGUCUGCCUUGGAGUAAUCACUCUUUAGCUCCUGACACCUGACAACCAGGGCUCAUGGAGUAACAAGGAGAGCAGAAGUAGGAUGACUGUGCUUUCAUCCCACCUGGGUCCUCUCCACCUCCUGUGAGUACAUCAUCCCAUGGUAUGUGGCUAAAUUCUAGGUCCCAGGCACAAAGUACAGGAAAGUCCCUUUAUCUUUUAUUAAUUGCAAAUUCUCUCUCCCCCUUGAAAAAUGGGACAAACUGCUUAAGUCUGUGUUUUUGUGUAGCCUAGGAGUUCUCCACUAACUUUCUUUAAAAGCAAGUUAAAACUGUAGGGACAGUAAGAAAUCAUCCUUAGUGGUGGCAACUGCAUUUUCUAGAAACACAUUUUCUACCCAGGUGACCUUUGGCUUGGUGAGCCUAUUUUGGGCCAUGGAGCUUUAAGGAGAGGAGAGUGUGCCUAGCUAGCUGCCCCUCCUGGGCCCACCAGGGGCCACCUGCUCACCCACUGGCCUCUGGGCCAGAGGGGACAGCCAGGCACCAGCUCUACGUUCUCUAGCCUGAAAGUUUAUAGAUGGUGUGUCAUUUAUAGUGAGUCUCCAAAAUAUUCUCUCAACCUGAAAGUUUAUAGAUGGUGUGUCAUUUAUAGUAAGUCUCCAGAAUAUUCUCUCAAAUUUCUCUUGUAAUAACUGUCCUAGGCAGUUUAUGAAAUUAUGAAGACAAGAGAUUGAAGUGGAUAAUCCAAGGAGCAAAGGCUUGGGGGGCAGGGGGGAUCCUAAACCAGGGCCCCCUGAAGAAGGCAAAGGCCACUCACAGAGGGUGCAAGGCUUCUGGGAAGUUGCUCGAGAAGUUGAGUCUAUAUGGAGAGUGGUGAAGAGGCCCCACCCAUCCCCAUCGCGAGGACCGCAGCUGCCAAGCCAGCCUGGUGAUGUCUCCUCGCAGGCCUGCUCUGCCGAGAACGCCGUGAGCAGAAUCCCAUUUAAUCUUCUCAACAACCCUUUGUAGUAGGUAUUUUUAUUUCUAAUUUUACCCUACAAAUGAAGGAAAUACGAUGUGGAGAGGUUGAAUCACUUGCUCAAGGUCAUGCAGCUACUAAGUAGAGCUAGAGCCCAAUUCCUGCCCGUGCUGUUAAAAGUUGGGGGUUUCCCCAUUGUAGGAUUUUUAAUUCCGUUUGCUGGAAUGCCAGCCCUUUUUCGGUCCUUGGCCAUCUUGGAAUAGUCUUGUUUCCACAAUCUCUUCUUCAGCCUGUCAAAGCCACAGAAAGGUCUCCAGGAGACCAGGCCCAGGAGGUGGUAAGCGCUUCAGUCCCUAUGAAAGCUGUGUUCAUGGGAGACCGCACAUGCCCCCCUGGCAGCCACAGGACCUCUGCCAAGGGUGCCAAUAGAGGGGGAGUCUCAGGUCAUGGCAGACUGGACCUGUGGUUAUGUGCUUGUGCUGGGGUCAGGCAUUUCAGUUUAUUUGUGCUUAGCUAUGUCUGGGCCUCCACUGGAGUGACCACUCUAGAGAUGGCUGGGAUGGUCCAGCUGGGGCUCUGCCUGGGGCCCGGCUUCUGUCUGCCAGGUAGAUUCCUCCAUCCCUCCCCUGGUAGCAUCCACGGGGCCAAAACAUCCAAAGUGGCUUUUCACUCACAUUCCUGGAACCUCCCCCAUCUUCCAUGUGGCCUUUCUCCAGGAGAGUGGCCUGAUCUUGUGCUGUUGUCCAGGCUCUCAGAACCAUGGCCUCUGCUCCUGUCCACUGCAGGCCCCACUGUCCUCCUCCACCCCCUCCUCUGUUGUCCAGGUAACUGUCACAUCAUGAGACCCUGCCUCGGUGUGUACGUACAAUUCACUGGGCCAGGAUCCAACAGGAGCUGGCCAACGACCUUUGAAGUCAUCUGACCCCACAAUGGAAGUGAAGCAGCCAGACUAGUCAGGCUCCUCCUUUUGUAAAUUUGAGCCAGAAAUCAAAAAAGGUAGUGUGUGACCAGGUGUCAUGAGGGCAAGCCGGGCCUGGAUGGACCAGUGUUAGUCACAGUGACACUGGAGGAAAAAGAGUGAAGGAAACAAAGCAAACCGUGACGUGGAGAAGGUCGUGGAGGGGAAGCAAGCCUUGUUUGGAGCAAGUGCAUAGAGGACAGAAGGCCAGGGCAGAGCCGCCAGCCCUGAGCUGCCCUGUUGCUGUGGCUCCCUGGGCCCAGCCUCGCCCAGGUGAUACCACAGCAGCCGCACUGGCUGUUACCUUUGCUUGCAGUUGGCUUAGAAGUGGGCCUGCUACUUCAUUCUGCUAAUAACUUAGGGGAAGUGACAGGGACUGCCCGAGCCCCUGAGGCGGCAAGCACAAGGGGGAGGCCAGCAUGCAGAGGUGACAGCAGACAGGCAAAAGGAGCCUGGGUCCUUGAUGACAGGGUUGAGCCACUAUACCUAUCCUGGAACUACCUACUUCCAGUAUUGUUGCUGUGUAAGUUAAAAGUCUUAUUUUCUAAGCAGAUUUUUGCUACUUGCAGCCUGAAGCAUUCCUAUCCCCGUAGCUGCCCCUUAGAGCACAUGGCUCUUUCUGGAGCUCCAAGUGGAGACUCACCCUGAGUGUUAACAUGAGAAGCCCUGUUCAUACGACAGGAAAUAAAAGUCAGGAUUUGUCACAGCUCACACAGCUGUUAGUUCCAACUGCCAGGGCCUAUAGGAUACAGACAAGGAAAGAAAAAUAUUCAGGACAUUUCCACAUGUAUGGGCAUGAGUCUUCUAAACUGGGGCUCAAUAACGAAUUUGAGGAAGAUCAAGUUCAGUGGGGGGGGGUUAAUGCCUAAGAUCCAAAGCCCAAGCAAGGUUCAGGAAGCCAUGGGAGGAGCAGGAAGUUGAGCUGAACAAAUGGUAGGUAGGUUGGACAAAUUCUGGGAAGGAUGCCCAGGACUCCAGGUGGAUGCGAGGGCUCGGCGGACCAGCCAGAAAUAAGCCUAAGCACCUGGAACUAACCAUGGCCCUGACCUGCCCACCUGCCGACCUUCCUGAUGCUUUAGGUUCUCAAGGAGUAAGAUUUCCCCCGCGGCCCUCGGUUGCCACCCUGGCAAGCCCUGUUUCCUUAUUCCUCAUCUCUUCUCCCUCCAUCUUCCCCUUUUUUCCUCCACUUUUGUCCUCUCUGUGCAAAGCCAGGCCUCAGAAAUGCACAAGACCUGAGUCAUUUCUAACGCAAUUGGGGGAUUAAAAUGGAGGCGAGGGUAUUUUGCUAGAAUGGCAAUCUGGGAAGAGGAGUUAGAUUGGCGGGAGGGGAAGCAAUUGGUAAAUGAGGACUGGAGAAAGCUUCCUUCCGGUCCAACUCUCAUGUUCUUUUGUGUGUUUUUAACAUAAGAAAUGUACCCAUUCUUCCCUUAGAAAAUGGGAAGCUGAACUCAAGAGCCCUAGCCCUUCUUUUUUGAAACUCUUUUUAAAAAUAUAAAACGAAGAUUAGACUGGCAUCUUCUUAAUCAGUCUUACCAAUGCAUACUGUUCCCCUGCAUUCAGACCCUGAGAAAAGCCACCAGCCCCAUUUCCCAUCUCUGAAUGAUCUUGUGCAGAUGUGACCCAUAGAAGUUCUUCAAAUCUUUGGAGCCCAGCCACAGAUGUGUUGCAAUCUUAGAAGUUGUGACCACCAGUUUCUGUCACUGAGCCUCGGCCCUCUCGGUGCAGUACUGUGCUCCUGCGCAAGGCAUGCAGGCCUGUGCCCCAGGCUGAAUAGCCCAAAAAGAAAAUCCUGUAACCAGAGGAGUGAAAUUCCUGGUUGGAGUGAAUGAAGCAAAAAGUUUAACCCCUGCCUUGUGAUAGGAUGAACACAUCAGAGCAUUCUGUGAGCCCUGCAUGUCCCUGGGAGUCACCAAAGAGCCUCUGAAACUCUUGAGACCAAAGGCACUUGUUCCCCCGGCUGCUGCUCAUCAAGACUUUUCUCCAGUAUGAAGUAGCCUGAUGACUGACCUAGAGUGCGCUCAUCUCUCAAAGACGGCGUCUCCUGUGAAUCCCCCAAUGAUGAGAAAGAGCUAAGCAGGCCCAUGUGAUCCUACCCAUUAGCCUCUCUCCAGGGUGACCUAAUGUCCCCGCAGCCACGCUACCCCUAGACGGUCUGCCAUAUUCAUGACACCUGACCAGCAUAAGGCCCAUUUGAGUCCAUUGGUAUUGUCCAAGGACAGGACUCUGAUGAAGCCACCUCUUCCUCCAUUAUGCUUCCAGGACCCCUCUCUGCUGCAAACUCCCAGAUGUCUGGCUGGUGCCAAGCACUAUUUAAAGACAGUCGUUUGUUUGCAUUCAUCACAUGCAUAUGGUUUUUCUCCAGUGUGAAUUCUUUGACGUUGAAUGAGCUUUGCUUUCUGAAAGCCCUCCCACAUUUUAUCACAUCUGUAGUUUCUGUUGCAUGUGACAUAGCCAGUGCCGUGGGGGGGGUGCUGACAGAUGCCUCUCCCCACCCACUCUCUACAAGAUGAGUGUUAUUUCAAAAGGACUGGAGCCCCAAGAAAAUUGCCUGUAUUCACAACAGUCAAAGCUGUUCUCUCCGAUAUGAAACUGUAACACUGAAUAAAUCCGGAAUCCUUACCCAA